rnacentral:rRNA from 1 species
AAGGAAUAUUGGACAAUGGAGGCAACUCUGAUCCAGCCAUGCCGCGUGAAGGAAUAAGGCCCUAUGGGUUGUAAACUUCUUUUAGACGGGACAAAACCCCUUUACGUGUAAAGGGUUGAUGGUACUGUCAGAAUAAGCAUCGGCUAACUUCGUGCCAGCAGCCGCGGUAAUACGAAGGAUGCAAGCGUUAUCCGGAAUUAUUGGGUUUAAAGGGUGCGUAGGCGGACUAAUAAGUCAGUGGUGAAAGCCUGCAGCUUAACUGCAGAAUUGCCAUUGAUACUGUUAGUCUUGAGUACAGUUGAGGUGGGCGGAAUGUGUCAUGUAGCGGUGAAAUGCUUAGAUAUGACACAGAACACCGAUUGCGAAGGCAGCUUGCUAAGCUGUAACUGACGCUGAGGCACGAAAGCGUGGGGAGCAAACA